rnacentral:rRNA from 1 species
UACAGAGGAUGCAAGCGUUAUCCGGAAUGAUUGGGCGUAAAGCGUCUGUAGGUGGCUUUUUAAGUCCGCCGUCAAAUCCCAGGGCUCAACUCUGGACAGGCGGUGGAAACUACCAAGCUGGAGUACGGUAGGGGCAGAGGGAAUUUCCGGUGUAGCAGUGAAAUGCGUAGAGAUCGGGAGGAACACCAGUGGCGAAGGCGGCCUUCUGGACCAAUACUGACGCUCAUGCACGAAAGCGUGGGGAGCAAACAGG